UAGACUUCCAUUUAAAAACACAUGUCGUAUAUGGAGCCUGUGACAUGCCGAAACAGUUUGAGUUAAAGUGUACCGGUGAGUCCAAGAGACCUUCUGAAGGAUUCUGGGCCGCUGUGGACGUCUGGAUACAGAAACCUCAUGUCGUGAACAAACGCCUGUGUGGUGUUAAACUCUCAGAGACUAAAGAGACCCACAGAGAUGAACUGAGAUUUGUCCUCGGUGAUGGAUGCGAAUCCGAACUCACCCAGGAUGUGCUUGACUUCUUAUCGGCUGCACCUUCAUCUUCAAAGACGCUUAGAGAACCCAAACCCCUCUGCUCCACUGUCAGGACUUUCAUUCCGAAAGUGAACGGUGAUGGGACUGUCGCUCACAGAGAGCUUGUAUUGAAAGACUUUGACCAGCAGAAGGUGACCUUUAUCCCAUUUGAGGAGCACAACGGUGGGCGGGUUUCUGUGAAGAAGGGUAACAUCUAUCUGAUCCAGCUGCUUCUUCAGGAGAGCGAGGAAUGGGUGUUGGAACUGCAUGUCCUGUCCCCUGACGCCUGGUUUUCUGACAAUGUGGUCUACCCUAAACUACGGUGGCUGUCUUCAGACCUCCUUCCAAAACUGAUGCGCUGGACCACAGAAUCCAAGAAGAGUGAAUUCACCAGCACGUUGUCUCUGCUGCCAGUGGAGAAGUACAGCAUCACCUAUCAGCAUCUGAAGGAAAAGUAUAAAACGAUGGUCCAGGUUUGGCCAGAGGUGACAGACCCUGAGAAGUUUGUGUACGAAGAUGUUGCUAUAGCUACAUACCUGCUGGUGCUGUGGUCUGAGGAGCGGUCUGAGAAAGAUCUGACCACCAGACAGACCUUUGUGGAUCUGGGCUGUGGGAAUGGUCUGCUGGUUCACAUCCUGACUAAUGAAGGGCACCCAGGAAAAGGCAUAGACUUGAGGAAAAGGAAGAUCUGGAGCAUGUACGGCCCUCACACUCUGCUUGAGGAAAAGGCAAUUACUCCCAGUGAGAGCUCCUUGUUCCCAGAUACCGACUGGUUGAUUGGGAACCACUCGGACGAGCUCACGCCGUGGAUCCCCGUCAUGGUUUGCAGGUCGUCUUACGACUGCAGAUACUUCCUCCUCCCCUGCUGCUUCUUUGACUUCUUCUGCAAGUUCCAGAGGCGUCAGUGUAAGAAAACCCAGUACAGGUUGUACAUCGACUUCAUCUCUGAGGUCAGCCAGGCGUGUGGCUUCAACACCCAGGAGGACUGUUUGAGAAUCCCCUCCACCAAACGGGUUUGUCUGGUUGGGAAAUCCAGGAAUUAUCAGAAGCCCGAUGAGGCUGCGGCUGAUAGACGGAGGUCUGCCUUCAUCCAUAGUCGCCAGCCCUCGACUGGACAGAGAGUACAAGGGUCAGAUGUUGAGAUUGACUGUUGCCAUGGGAGCACCCUCUCCGGCACGAACGGCGGGAUCAGCUGGGGUGCUGGGUUUCAGCCACGAGAGAGAGUUGAGGUGGUUCGAAACUGUUCGGCGCUCCCCAGAGACUUUGUUGAUGCCAUCGUACUGCGGGUGGCUAAUGUGCUUCUGGAAUUGACUGCAGAGGACGGCUGGGAGUCUUCCACUCACUGGAACCCUGGAGGUAAACUCAUAAAAACACUCGAAAUGUGAAAACAAAACUGUUCAAGAAACGCUGAAAUGGCCAAAUUGAGCGAAAAUAGAAUUUUGACUGAAUAAUCUCAAUGGUGAGCAGUGAACAGCUGGCAGUCUUGAUUUCAGUGAUGGAUCAAGAGAGGCUGCUGCUGGAUAACACCCAACUGUCUCCUUCCCCAUCAAAAGCCAUCAAGCCUCCUGAAAAAUCCCACCCGCUGAGUAGCUCCUCAGAACUCCUCAGCUUUCUUUUCCCUUACUUUUUGUGAACUUCUGUGUUUGACACGUCUAGAUUGUGACAUGGUUACCUGUUAGGUCACCAUCUACCCUGCCAGUGUCAGCUCAUAGAGCGUCAUGACUCAGGCGCUGCUUGGAAGCCCACCUGCGCUGCGUGGCACUAUGUACCCUGAGAUUAAGAGAGGAGGGGCAUCAUGAUUAAAAUGGAACACUCUCUGUCAGGAUGUCAGGAAAUAUGACGGAGCAGCAGUAGCGGCUUGUGUGAGCGUGUACCAAGAUGGCUGGAUGAAUAAUGCACCAGAAGCAAUGAUUAAUGCAUGAGUGAGCGUUUGUAUGGUUUGCAGUUAUGUGCUGUGUAAGAACAAAGAGAAGAGUCGGAGCCACCAUGCUGACAGACCCGGAGUCAGCUCGAGCGCUUUGAACACGAGUGAGGAGCAUUGUUGUAGAUUCCUGGUUGGCACUGAUGCUUCCAACUUGAACGUUAACUUUUAAUCUCCACUCAGCAUUUCUUCUCUUCCACUAACACCCAAGCAAAAACAAAAACAACAACAACAACAAUGCAUCAUUCUGCCUUAAACAAACUCCGUUUGGAGCCAUUAAUAAUGGUCUGCUCCAGGGGCACUUUGUCAAUAGCAACCUCUUCCCAUUAAUCCCCAUUAAAAUUGCAGCAGUGAAGGACAGUGCAGUGUGUUGUAUUGAUAGUAUAUUAGGGCACUUAACUCGCUGGUGUCUCAGUGUUCAUUCAGCCUGGACACUUCCAAUCUGCUGCUCCAGGUGUGUUCCAUUUUGUUGCAUAUUUUCUGGAAAACACCGCCCCCCCACACUUUCAUCUGUUAUACUUGUGUGAAGUUCUUUUACAAUAUAAACAGUUAAAGAACUAAAAAAUGUGAUAGAAAAAACUGAAGAAGCCAAGUUGACAUCGAGUAAGCUUCCUCAUUCUGCAACGGUGUGACCUCUCAGACGUCCAUCAGGAUGGGCUCAGUGUAUCGCCGGCCUGCUCAAACCAACAGCAGCAGCAGUUUCUGCAGUUUCUGUCGAGACAUUUACUGAUCAGGCAUCAUCAGUACCUUUUUGGUACGCUUAGGUGACUGACUAUCUGAUGUUGUUCCUGCAUCCAAAUGUGCUCCCCUACCAGGAGAGUGGCAACAGUGAGUCAGAGGCAGCUGUGGGAGAUUCAGCACGGGAGUUCCUGCUGGUUCCCCUGACAGCCUGUGGGGGCACUUUUUAAAUCGAACUCACUUCACACAGGCAUUUCACUCGGCGGAGGCAGCGGUUGUGACCGUCAAUACCUUUCUGAAAUGGCGUAAUUCAGUCUUCACGGUGAGGACACAUUGACGUGUUGAUGAAAAGGUCACAUGGAUCUGUCUUGUCGUCAGGCAGCCUGUCUCUGGGGGAGGUCGCUGCACUGAUGGAGCAGGAAACCCUGCAGUGCCUGAAGAGGGAAUGUGGAGGUCUUCAGACGCUCCUCAAGAACAACCACCACGUGUUUCGCGUUGAGAAGGGACGCGUGCACAUCAGGGAUUGGAGGGACGUG